GACGAACGCUGGCGGCGUGCUUAACACAUGCAAGUCGAACGGGCCUGUCUUCUUUUUUGGGGGGUGGGUUGAGUGGCGAACGGGUGAGUAUCACGUGAGUAACCUGCCCUUCGGUCCUGGAUAACCGCUUGAAAGGGCGGCUAAUACGGGGUGGUCCGGUUGGUCCGCAUGGGCUGGUCGGGAUAGAUUCACUGUUUUUGGUGUUUCGGCGGGGGAUGGGCUCGCGGCCUAUCAGCUUGUUGGUGGGGUGAUGGCCUACCAAGGCGGUGACGGGUAGCCGGCCUGAGAGGGUGGGCGGCCAGACUGGGACUGAGGUACGGCCCAGACUCCUGCGGGGGGCAGCAGUGGGGGGUAUUGCACAAGGGGCGGAAGCCUGAUGCAGCGACGUCGCGUGAGGGAUGGAGGCCUUCGGGUUGUGAACCUCUGUUUCCGGUGGUGAAGGCCCUGUCCGUGUGGUGGGGUUGACGGUAGCCGGGGAUGAAGCGCCGGCUAACUACGUG
rnacentral:rRNA from 1 species